rfam:Ovis aries breed Texel chromosome 5, whole genome shotgun sequence.
UCCCUGGUGGCUUAGAGGUUAAAGCAUCUGCCUUUAAUAUGGGAGACCUGGGUUCAAUCCCUGGGUCGGGAA